CUAUAUACUUUACUUUUCACAUACAGUGAAAGAAACUCCCUUCCUAGGAGAACUGACAGCUGUUGAAGUAAAAGAAUUUGUGGGGAUAAUGGAUGAAAACAAAACAAGAAGGAUCCACAGAAAUGGCUCUGAAGAACAGCUGAAAAGGCGAAGAACUGUUUUUAGCGAGCCAUGGGCAGAGAAUGGGCAGAGGACAGAAGGGAGCUGCAAUGAGCAGAAGAGUGCAGGCCUGGAGGGCUGUGGAGAAAUGAGAGUGGUCUGUUCCCAAGGGUUCCACAUUAAGUUUGUGUUGAAAUUUUCUUUUGAAGAUUGUGUACAGUUAGAAGACCAAAAAACUGUAGAAGACAAUGGACAGGCACUAAAGGCUCUUGCUGUGUCAUCUUCAUGUUCCAUACUAGAGUCAACAUGAGUUAAUUCUGCAACUUGUGAUAACUAAAUACAAUAUAGAGAAGAGACAUUUCAUUUAUCUAAAACUGUUCUGAUGCAAGUAUGAAGUUCAAAGUAAUCAGACUUUUCUAUAUUUUUUAGAUCUGUUUGCACAUAUACCAGGUGCCAGAGAAAUUUUUCAUGUAUUCUGAUAUGAUUUUUUUCACCAAAAAUGUGUGGUAGUAAUGGCCCAUUUCAGGGAAACACUUAACUAACUACUUAAGUCUAAGCAUGAAUACAAAUGCUACCCUGAGUAGAGAUGGGUAUAAAAAUAUUUUUAGCUUUAGGUGUGUAGUAAAUGACUUGCUGAACUGGUUCUUAAGUAGAAAAAUGAAAAAUAUUUUACUAUGGUAUGGAGAAAACUCUGGCAUGUUUUGAGGCCAGCAAUGCUGGCUCAAGCAGGUCAGAACACAGGAGAAAUAUGGAGGCAAAACAGAUGAAAAAUCAUUCCAUCCACAGCUACCCAGAGGCAGUGCCUGUAAUCCAGCAAAUCUAGUCAAAGGAGCACAAGCUACAGCUGCAGUGCCUUGCACAUAAAUUGCACAAAAUCUUUGUACUACAGAACUACAAGUUUCCAGAAAGCUGAAGAUUUUGAAAUUUCCAGUCACAUAUUUCUGCUUAAUAAAGUAGAUAUAAUUAUUUGAAGUUACCCCA
rnacentral:lncRNA from 1 species